CACGGAGUUAGCCGAUCCUUAUUCUUACGGUACAUUCAGCCCAAUACACGUAUUGGGGGUUAUUCCCGUACAAAAGCAGUUUACAACCCGUAGGGCAGUCUUCCUGCACGCGGCAUGGCUGGUUCAGGGUUCCCCCCAUUGACCAAUAUUCCUUACUGCUGCCUCCCGUAGGAGUCUGGUCCGUGUCUCAGUACCAGUGUGGGGGAUUCUCCUCUCAGAGCCCCUAGACAUCGUCGCCUUGGUGGGCCGUUAUCCCCCCAACAAGCUAAUGUCACGCGAGCCCAUCCAUAUCCUAUAAAUAUUUAACCGCUUUCCCAUGCGGGAGCGCCGUCUCAUGCGGGCUUAAUCCGGAUUUCUCCGGGCUAUCCCCCUGAUAUGGGCAGGUUGCUCACGCGUUACGCACCCGUGCGCCACUCUCACCGGUAGCAAGCUACCGGAUCCCGUCCGACUUGCAUGUAUUAGGCCUGCCGCUAGCGUUCAUCCUGAGCCAGGAUCAAACUC
rnacentral:rRNA from 1 species